AUGCAAGUCGUGCGGACCUUUUUAAAAAGCUUGCUUUUUAAAAAGGUUAGCGGCGGACGGGUGAGUAACACGUGGGCAACCUGCCUGUAAGAUCGGGAUAACGCCGGGAAACCGGGGGCUAAUACCGGAUAGUUUUUUUCCCUCCGCAUGGAGGAAAAAGGAAAGACGGCUUCUGCUGUCACUCCUCUGAUGGGCCCGCGGCGCAUUAGCUAGUUGGUGGGGUAACGGCUCACCAAGGGAACGAUGCGUAUCCGACCUGAGAGAGGGUGAUCGGCCACAUUGGGACUGAGACACGGCCCAAACUCCUACGGGAGGCAGCAGUAGGGAAUCUUCCCAAAAUGUGGACGAAAGUCUGACGGAGCAACGCCGCGUGAGUGAAGAAGGCCUUCGGGUCGUAAAACUCUGUUGCCGGGGAAGAACAAGUGCCGUUCGAACAGGGCGGCGCCUUGACGGUACCCGGCCAGAAAGCCACGGCUAACUACGUGCCAGCAGCCGCGGUAAUACGUAGGUGGCAAGCGUUGUCCGGAAUUAUUGGGCGUAAAGCGCGCGCAGGCGGCUUUCUUAAGUCUGAUGUGAAAAUUCUUGCGGCUCAACCGCAAGCGGUCAUUGGAAACUGGGAGGCUUGAGUGCAGAAGAGGAGAGUGGAAUUCCACGUGUAGCGGUGAAAUGCGUAGAGAUGUGGAGGAACACCAGUGGCGAAGGCGGCUCUCUGGUCUGUAACUGACGCUGAGGCGCGAAAAGCGUGGGGAGCAAACCGGAUUAGAUUAACGUGGUAGUCCAAACGGAAAACAAUAAGGGUAAAGAAUAAAAGGGUUUACGCCCUUUAUGCUACAACUAACGCUUUAACCACUUCGCCUGGGGGAGUACGGCGCAAGGGUUAAACUAAAGGAAUUGACGGGGGGCCCCACAAGCGAUGGAGACAAGUGGUUUAAUUCAAGCAACCGAAGAACCUUACCAGGUCUUGAUGACAUCGUCUGAAAUCCCUGGGGACAGGGGCCUUCCCCCUUCGGGGACAGAGUGACAGAUGGGUGCAUAGUUGUCGUCAGCUCGUGUCGUGAGAUGUUUGGGGUUAAGUCCCGCAACGAGCGCAACCCCUGACCUUAGUUGCCAGCAUUCAGUUGGGGCACUCUAAGGUGACUGCCGGGGGACAAACCGGAGGAAGGUGGGGGAUGAGUCAAAUCAUCAUGCCCCUUAUGACCUGGGGUACACACACGUGCUACAAUGGAUGGUACAAAGGGCUGCGAGACCGCGAGGUUAAGCCAAUCCCAGAAGGCAUUCCCAGUUCGGAUUUGCAGGCUGCAACCCGCCUGCAUGAAGCCGGAAUCGCUAGUAAUCGCGGAUCA
rnacentral:rRNA from 1 species